rnacentral:rRNA from 1 species
CCAAUAGCGUAUAUUAAAGUUGUUGCAGUUAAAAAGCUCGUAGUUGAAUUUCGGAAUCUGUCCAUCGGUCGGGCUUCACUGUCCGUACUGGUGUGGUGGGUUCUUACCUUCUGAAUAACCAGCAUGCCAUUCACUUGGUGCGCUGGGGAAGCAGGACUAUUACCUUGAAAAAAUUAGAGUGCUCAAAGCAGGCUAGUGCCUGAAUACAUUAGCAUGGAAUAAUAAAAUAGGACGGCAUGGUUCUAUUUUGUUGGUUUCUAGGAUCACCGUAAUGAUUAAUAGGGAUAGUUGGGGGCAUUAGUAUUCAAUUGUCAGAGGUGAAAUUCUUGGAUUUAUUGAAGACUAACUUCUGCGAAAGCAUUUGCCAAGGAUGUUUUCAUUAAUCAAGAACGAAAGUUAGGGGAUCGAAGACGAUCAGAUACCGUCGUAGUCUUAACCAUAAACUAUGCCGACUAGGGAUCGGACGAUGUUAAUUUUUUAAUGACUCGUUCGGCGCCUUACG